rnacentral:piRNA from 1 species
AUGCAGCUGCUCCUGGAGAACUUGGG